rnacentral:rRNA from 1 species
CAGCCGUAAACUAUGCUCGCUAGGUGUCAGGCAUGGCGCGACCGUGUCUGGUGCCGCAGGGAAGCCGUGAAGCGAGCCACCUGGGAAGUACGGCCGCAAGGCUGAAACUUAAAGGAAUUGGCGGGGGAGCACAACAACGGGUGGAGCCUGCGGUUUAAUUGGACUCAACGCCGGACAACUCACCGGGGACGACAGCAAUAUGUAGGCCAGGCUGAAGACUCUGCAUGACUAGCUGAGAGGAGGUGCAUGGCGUAGACGUCU